ACAUCCAGAGAACUUAGCAGAGAUGCUUUGGUGCCUUCGGGAACUCUGAGACAGGUGCUGCAUGGCUGUCGUCAGCUCGUGUUGUGAAAUGUUGGGUUAAGUCCCGNAACGAGCGCAACCCUUAUCCUUUGUUGCCAGCGGCUCGGCCGGGAACUCAAAGGAGACUGCCGGUGAUAAACCGGAGGAAGGUGGGGAUGACGUCAAGUCAUCAUGGCCCUUACGGCCAGGGCUACACACGUGCUACAAUGGCGCAUACAAAGAGAAGCGACCUCGCGAGAGCAAGCGGACCUCAUAAAGUGCGUCGUAGUCCGGAUUGGAGUCUGCAACUCGACUCCAUGAAGUCGGAAUCGCUAGUAAUCGUAGAUCAGAAUGCUACGGUGAAUACGUUCCCGGGCCUUGUACACACCGCCCGUCACACCAUGGGAGUGGGUUGCAAAAGAAGUAGGUAGCUUAACCUUCGGGAGGGCGCUUACCACUUUGUGAUUCAUGACUGGGGUGAAGUCGUAACAAGGUAGGCGUACGUGU
rnacentral:rRNA from 1 species